AGCUCCAAUAGCGUAUAUUAAAGUUGUUGCGGUUAAAAAGCUCGUAGUUGGAUUUCUGUUGAAAACGGCCCGUCCGCAUUUUGUGCGUGUAUGUGGCUUGGUUUCGGCAUCCUUUCAAAGAACGCAACUGUAAUUCAGUUUAUGGGGCGGUACUUUGGAACUUUUACUUUGAGGAAAUUAGAGUGUUCACGGCAGGCAAUCGCCUUGAAUAUAUUAGCAUGGAAUAAUACUAUAGGAUCUUGGGUCUAUUUUGUUGGUUUCUAGAACUAAGAUAAUGAUUAAUAGGGACAAUUGGGGGCAUUCGUAUUAACACGUCAGAGGUGGAAUUCUUAGAUUGUGUUACGACGAACUACUGCGAAAGCAUUUGCCAAGGAUGUUUUCA
rnacentral:rRNA from 1 species